CGCCGAUGUCAGCGGAGAAGCGUCGUCGUCGAAGGUGGCGGAGGAGGCAAAGAAGAAGGGAGAGGGAAAGGGCGAGAAGGGCGAGAGAGGGUGAGAUAGGCGUCGUCGUCGGAGGUGGUGGAGGAGGGUCAGAGAGGGGGAAAAAAAAAGUCGCAGCGCGGCCUCGGCGGGGUCGGAGGCGAGGAAAGCGGGCGGUGCGUGGGCGAGGGUAAGGAUGCGCCAGAUAAAACCGAAGCGGCCGCCUUCGUCUCCGCCUCUGCCUCCGCCGCUUUCUGGGAAGAGAAAGAAAAAAUGACGAGAGAAAAAGAAAAGGAGAGAGAAAAAGAUACAAGGAUAUUUUGGUCAGUUUGCUGAAAAUCCGGCUCGAAUCUGUAAAAUCGAAAAAGGUGACCCACUUUUAUAAAAACGCAAAACUAGUGGAUUUUUUAUUGAAAUUGCAUGACCAAGUUUUUUGU
rnacentral:lncRNA from 1 species